ACUCGUUCGGGAUUCAGGCUGUAUAUGAGUUAGUGAGGACUGAAGAGAGGAGAGUUAAACAAACAAGCAAACAAACAAACACACAGGGCAAGAAAACAGGACCCAACAGCAGACGCUGACACCCUCCCGACCUGCAGUGCAGAGUGAUUCCAAGAACCGCGCGCGACAUUCCGUGUCUCAGGAAAGAUGGUACCCACACUAAGCUCAGCCAAGAACGGCCUCCGCGCCCGCUUAAUUUUCCGAACCUGUUCUUGUGGUGCUGAUGGGGAGGGUGGCCGGGAAGAGAGGAGAGACCACUGAUCAAGUUGCUGUUUGUAUAUUGGUUGAUUGCUGUUUGCUGUUUGUUUAUUGAUUGAUUUUUUUUAUUGGCCCCUGGCCGAGGAUGAGCUAAGAAGCCUUUUGCAUACCUUGACCUGACCUCACUUAUCCUUCCACACUUCUACACCCUUUUCCUUCCUGCGCAGGGUCCUGAGCAGGUCUAAAUCAAGCAGUGCUUAGAGCCUCCCACAACGGGCCUUCAACCAUAUUUGGAAGAAAAGAAGGAAUCCAGAGAGGAAAUGGUUACCUGUGCUUACAGGCGGUCUGCACCACAAGCGCUGACUCAGCAAGAGGGAACUCUGCGUACCCCUGUCCUGAAAGCCCCUUGAGCAAGGACGUCAGAAAGAGACUAAAAUGGAGGGACAGCCUCCGAGGGCCCUGGAGCAGGGUAACAUGAGAUCUAUGACUAUCUAGUCAUUCGCUACCUGCAUUUGAAAGCAUAUGCAUUAUUAUGGUUGUCACCAUUUAUAGUAGUAUACUUAGACGUUGUCCAUCGAAUCUGGACGCAUACUCAAUUUGAAACUAAAUAAAACCUAAAGGAACAUAGGUGACCAUGAGGGACUCCAGGGAACAUUCUCUGGGACGGAACUCUGUGAAGAGUGGAGAAGAGGCCUCUAGGAUCAAGCUAUUCAUCAUGGAUACAGCCUCAGAUCCAGGACCUCCACCCUCUGGUGCAGUAUUUCCAGGAUAUUAGUGGGGGACUGUGGACCAUUCAAGCCUUGGAACAAGUCUAGCCCAACCACUGUCUAACUUUGCUGCUGACGGAAGCCUGACCCAGCCCUGACCUCGUAGACCUUAUAGGAAUAUGUUCUCAGCUCACUGCUCCACAUUUCUGGCCCUGUGACCUCACCAAACAAACACCUGCCUAUCUCAGAGCAUUGUAUCUAUUCAUGUUGAUUUCUGUCUCUUCCUUAUUAGUCUCUUGCACAAACCAUGAACUGGAUGAAAGCAAGAACGGGAUCGUUUGGGUUCUGUGGACUUGACUGUGGACUUGACUUGCAUCUGGCACAGCCUGCUCGCCAGCUCCUAUUCCCUUGCCCACCUGUUCUUUGACCUUGAACGCCCAACCCCUUUUUCUUGGCAUCAGUAUCGUCCUCUCUAAGAGCAGAGAUUAGGAUUAAUAAAUCUAUGACGUGCUUGUCACAGGGACUAAUG
ensembl:lincRNA 4833407H14Rik RIKEN cDNA 4833407H14 gene